UACAGAGGGUGCAAGCGUUGUUCGGAAUUAUUGGGCGUAAAGGGCGCGUAGGCGGUGCUGUAAGUCUGUAGUGAAAUCUCUGGGCUCAACUCAGAGUCUGCUAUAGAAACUGCAGUGCUGGAGUGUGGGAGAGGUGAGUGGAAUUCCCGGUGUAGCGGUGAAAUGCGUAGAUAUCGGAAGGAACACCUGUGGCGAAAGCGGCUCACUGGACCACAACUGACGCUGAGACGCGAAAGCUAGGGGAGCAAACAGGG
rnacentral:rRNA from 1 species